CAUUGCGUUAUAAAGGAACAAGAUGAACCACCACGUCACGCACACGCAACCAAUCAACCAGCACCACGUGUCGAAACACGACCACUUCGACAGUGGUCUCUCUUCUUCGUAAGGGAUCAAAAAGACUGCUUCUUUUGGGGAUUGGAUGUUUUGAUGAAGCAAGUAAAAGGCAAUUGAGUGUGGAAAAAAAAAUGAAGAAUUUUAAAGCAACGGGUCAAUGAAGCAAUUGAGGAAGGUAGGUGUGAAAUCUCACACUCAAAAUCUAAUAAUAGAUCCAUUUUCAAAAAUCAUUUAAUUAUAUUUUGAAAAAUAAAAAAUGCGGAUAAAGUUUUAACUCGAUUGGUAUUAGUAUUACUGUUACUGUAAAGGUUAGUUUAGCAUUAUUGUUGUCGUGAAAAAAUAAUUUUAAAAAGUUUGGUUUAAAUUUUUUAGUUAAUCGAGUUGAUAAGUCUAA